rnacentral:rRNA from 1 species
GAUGAACGCUGGCGGCGUGCCUAAUACAUGCAAGUCGAGCGAACGGACGAGAAGCUUGCUUCUCUGAUGUUAGCGGCGGACGGGUGAGUAACACGUGGAUAACCUACCUAUAAGACUGGGAUAACUUCGGGAAACCGUAGCUAAUACCGGAUAAUAUUUUGAACCGCAUGGUUCAAAAGUGAAAGACGGUCUUGCUGUCACUUAUAGAUGGAUCCGCGCUGCAUUAGCUAGUUGGUAAGGUAACGGCUUACCAAGGCAACGAUGCAUAGCCGACCUGAGAGGGUGAUCGGCCACACUGGAACUGAGACACGGUCCAGACUCCUACGGGAGGCAGCAGUAGGGAAUCUUCCGCAAUGGGCGAAAGCCUGACGGAGCAACGCCGCGUGAGUGAUGAAGGUCUUCGGAUCGUAAAACUCUGUUAUUAGGGAAGAACAUAUGUGUAAGUAACUGUGCACAUCUUGACGGUACCUAAUCAGAAAGCCACGGCUAACUACGUGCCAGCAGCCGCGGUAAUACGUAGGUGGCAAGCGUUAUCCGGAAUUAUUGGGCGUAAAGCGCGCGUAGGCGGUUUUUUAAGUCUGAUGUGAAAGCCCACGGCUCAACCGUGGAGGGUCAUUGGAAACUGGAAAACUUGAGUGCAGAAGAGGAAAGUGGAAUUCCAUGUGUAGCGGUGAAAUGCGCAGAGGUAUGGAGGAACACCAGUGGCGAAGGCGACUUUCUGGUCUGUAACUGACGCUGAUGUGCGAAAGCGUGGGGAUCAAACAGGAUUAGAUACCCUGGUAGUCCACGCCGUAAACGAUGAGUGCUAAGUGUUAGGGGGUUUCCGCCCCUUAGUGCUGCAGCUAACGCAUUAAGCACUCCGCCUGGGGAGUACGACCGCAAGGUUGAAACUCAAAGGAAUUGACGGGGACCCGCACAAGCGGUGGAGCAUGUGGUUUAAUUCGAAGCAACGCGAAGAACCUUACCAAAUCUUGACAUCCUUUGACAACUCUAGAGAUAGAGCCUUCCCCUUCGGGGGACAAAGUGACAGGUGGUGCAUGGUUGUCGUCAGCUCGUGUCGUGAGAUGUUGGGUUAAGUCCCGCAACGAGCGCAACCCUUAAGCUUAGUUGCCAUCAUUAAGUUGGGCACUCUAAGUUGACUGCCGGUGACAAACCGGAGGAAGGUGGGGAUGACGUCAAAUCAUCAUGCCCCUUAUGAUUUGGGCUACACACGUGCUACAAUGGACAAUACAAAGGGCAGCGAAACCGCGAGGUCAAGCAAAUCCCAUAAAGUUGUUCUCAGUUCGGAUUGUAGUCUGCAACUCGACUACAUGAAGCUGGAAUCGCUAGUAAUCGUAGAUCAGCAUGCUACGGUGAAUACGUUCCCGGGUCU